rnacentral:rRNA from 1 species
UCGGAAUUACUGGGCGUAAAGCGCACGCAGGCGGUUUGUUAAGUCAGAUGUGAAAUCCCCGGGCUCAACCUGGGAACUGCAUCUGAUACUGGCAAGCUUGAGUCUCGUAGAGGGGGGUAGAAUUCCAGGUGUAGCGGUGAAAUGCGUAGAGAUCUGGAGGAAUACCGGUGGCGAAGGCGGCCCCCUGGACGAAGACUGACGCUCAGGUGCGAAAGCGUGGGGAGCAAACAGGAUUAGAUACCCUGGUAGUCAAGGGCGAAUUCGC